AUGCGUUCCCCAACUGGGGAGGUUAUCUUUGGAGGGGAAACUAUGCGUUUUUGGGACCUUCGUGCUCCAUGGUUAGAACCUCUAAGGGGACCCAACGGUUUGGACUUGAGUAGGUUGAAAAAAGACAUACAACCUUGGCAAGAACGACGCUCAGCAGAAUAUAUGACCCACGCUCCUUUAGGCUCUUUAAAUUCCGUGGGUGACGUAGCUACCGAGACCAAUGCAGUUAAUUAUGUCUCUCCUAGAAGUUGGUUAUCAACUUCUCAUUUUGUUCUAGGAUUCUUCUUUUUUGUGGGCCAUUUAUGGCAUGCAGGAAGAGCCCGAGCUGCUGCAGCAGGUUUUGAAAAGGGAAUCGAUCGUGAUUUGGAACCUCCGAGCCAUUCAUUCCUUUUUAUGAAAGAAAGAUAA
rnacentral:rRNA from 1 species